GCAACAACCUUCUCUUCAUUCUGGCAUUUUCGAGGUAUUGAAAAAGAUCAGCUUUUGUAUUGUUGAUCCUUCCAGAAAAGAAGGAAGCAACUCUUGAUGUUAAUUUAAUUAUGCAGUCUGUGGUGCAGGCAGAGUUAGAGCAAUAGAAGGGGAAAAUGGGAGCAGUUUUCAUCAUUUUAGCGUGAUCUUGUAAAAUGAUAGUGCUAGCCACCCUAAGAUUAGAGAUUUUCUCUGGACCACGCUCUUUUUAGGCAACGCUCUGCUAUAAACUGCAUGGUAUGUACCCGUCCAGAUCAGUGUGAUUUAUAAAUCAACCAAAUAUUUGGACAAAAGGUACAAUUGACAUCAAAUCCAGGAACGAGUUUCUGUAACAAAUAGCAAAAUUCAAAUUCUUUUAAUUCAGCAACACAUUUUUGAUUACAAGGAUGAUGGCAUAGCAUUGAAUAUAUAUAAUGAAAUAGCAAAAUUUAUAAUGAUAAAUGACUUUUUAUAAUGAUAAUAUAAUAAUAUAAUAAUAUAUCUCGCCAAAUCUCCGUUUCGGAGCAGUUACUUUACCACAAACACAGAAUUGCCAGGAAAGACGUCAUGUGCAGUAUAGUACCACAGGCUAAUUUUCACUUAAGUUUGAAAAAGUUCAACCAAUCUUUCGAUUUCUAUCAGACCUUUUGCUUUGCUUUUAAAAAUUUGUUCCAUUCCUGGAAGGUGUCUUUUGAACUUUUCGCAUUGCCAUAAAUGUUCUAAGUUUUCUUUAUGUAAUCUACACCUUCUGCAACUUAUAUUAUCAUACUUUCCUUUGUAAUUAGCUUUUAAAUAGGUCAUGUUUAGUUUAAAUUUUAGUAACGUUGGUCCAUUUUUAUGUUUUAUAUAUUCUUCCAAAUCCAAAACUUCCUUUCUUAAUGAACCUUAUCUUUGUUUUAUCGCUAUUCUUAACGCGCUGGACGCUGAGAGAACCGAAACAGUUUUCGAGCUCAGCGCCGUGUUAUCGACAAACAAGAAAGAUUUUACAAGCAUUAAAAACUUUAGUAAUAAGAAAUCAAUAUUGAUAUUAGCAAAGCAUUAAUGGUAGCAAAAAGAGGAAAAGGAAAAAGUAGAAAAAACUUGAAGAAAAAAACAUAUUGAUAUGUAAAGAAAAAGAAAUAUUGAAGAAGGGAAAACACGGAACUAUCUAAGGGCUUUGAUAUGUAAUUGCCUAACAUGCCCAGCCUCAGAAAAAAUUGGUCGAAAAUAAUGUGUCUUUAAAAAUUUACUCUCGUGUUAAUAGAAUAGUACGCCAAGAAUAAACAACAAUAAAUACACGUAAAUCAGCGAAGGCUAAUAUUUCGCCCCGGCAUACGGGGCUUCAUCAGAGCAAAAGUUUAUGGGCUAAAAAUGUACACAUUUAAAAGAGGCGAUGGUGGUGUCGGAUUGGCUUAUGUGGAAUGGUGUGAAUGCAGCGCAGUGGUGGAGGAGGGAAGGGUGGCGAAUGAGAGAGGGUGGAUGGUGGUGGUGGAAUGAAAAUGUAAUGGGGAUGAAGUGUGGAUGGUGCUUGAGCCCCCCCAAUAAUUGUCAAGCUGUAGUAUAUUUCCUUUACAACAGUGUACUGAAUGAGAAGGAAAACAAUGGGCAGCCCCCCCCCUCCCCCCAAUAUGAAUUUCGUUCCGAUGACACUGAAUAUGUUGAUGGUUUGUUUGAGGAUGGUAGAUAGCUGUGGCAAAGAAGGGGGAUAGGUGACAACAAAUGGUGUUCUGUGAUUAUUACGUUGUUUUGUGGUUUUCAGGCAGUCCUUCGUAUUUGUUUGCGUGUCUGUUUUGUUUUGUAACCUCGUUUUGUCAAGUAUUGUAGUAGUUGUCUUGUUCGGAAUUUGUAGGUUUCAUCUUCCGAGCAUAUACGUCGUAGUCGUAGGGCAAGAAAACGCAAGUACCAAAGUCUAAAAGUAGCUUUUUGUAAUGUUUUAAAGUUAGAGUUGCAUCUUGUUCUAUUCAGCACGUCAAAUUAUGCCAGGAAACAAUGUUUUAGUAUUUUUUACUCAGUUUUGCAAGAUCUUUCUGAUGAAAUCAUCAGAUUUGAAAAAUUCGAAGGUAAAAAUUUUGCUGACCGUGCAUUUUUCACGCUUUCUUAAACAUUGCUUCCGGUCAUAUGACGGAAUGUACCUAAGACUCAAAAUGAUCAGUGGCCUUUACUUUCAUAACUUAAACUCUAAAAACUUUGUUUAGGCAGUUUGCUAGAUGGUUAUGCGAAAUUCCCUGUAUAUUAUGCAGGGUUAUAAACGAAAUUCUGGACUUGUCGUCACAUUUAGCUUAGCCGUGCUCGUCCAAAAAACUCUUAAAUUAAUCCCUGUUUUAGAACAUGGAAAAUAACUCAUCUGUUUGAAGAUGAUAACGUGGGCCAAGAGAAGUAUUUGUGUUCUUUCUUAGGGUAUUGAAGUAUUUGGAGCUGCUGCAACUAAAAGCAAACCUGAGAGUAGAUGUUCACACGAUAAAACUAAAACUGAAACAAAAUCACAUAUAGCUUCUUGCUAGUCAUGCCAAAAAGUUGUAAUUGUCUCUUUAAAGUUUGGCUCAUCAUUCUAUAUCACCCAAGUUUUGGGAUAGCCUCUUGCAAAAAACCUCCAACAAUAUUUUAUCAAAAGUCCAAUGCAUUUAAAAACACCUGACAUUAUUGUAUAAAUGUUGUUUAAAUAUAAAGAGUUCUUUGGAUUUUCUUUGGAAUAAUGCUGCUUGUCCCUGUACAAGCCAUGGCCACUAAACUUUUAUUUUCUAUCUUUUACAUUGUAUUAUUUUAGUAUAAGGUCCUACCUAUCGCUCUAACUCAAGUCGGUAAUGACUUCUACAAAAAAGAUGCAUGAAAUGCAAACCUUUGCUUGCUCAGUUCAGUCUACGCCUUUAUUUCAUUUAUUAAAAUAGUUAUGCUUUUGGACAUUCGUUUAUGAAGCUGUAAGUGAACUCAUUGCCUGAGGAGGAGGCUAUCCCAGCAACCACUGCAAAAAAGGAGGAUGCUAUGAAAAAAUGGCGACAUGUUCGGAAAUUUAUCAUAUAUAUAUACACGUGUAAUGUAAGAAGUAAUGGAAAAGACGGUGUUGCAGAGAUUACCCGCGCACGUGCAUUUGGUAGAAAACUGAGAAAAAGACCACCGCCAGUCGUUUGAAGGGCAUUUAAAAACAGACAUCACAACAGUGUUGCCAGAAAGUGAUCCAGAUUCCAAUCUACACGACAGUACCAAUCUAAGCCAUGAAAUUUUAGAAGAUUCAGAAACUUGUUUCUUAAGAGAAAAAUGACUUCUGCAAGUGAAAAAUUGCUUUAUUCUAUAAGAAUGAUAAUUAUCAUGGAGUGUUCCUUGACUGCUGUCAAAGAGGUUGUUGCCCUUCAGUCUCUCACGGAUCGAUCGAAAAAGCAAUUGAAUUGUAUAGCAGGUGAACAGAGUAUGAAAAAUAACUUACUCUGGCAUGUUCCUUCUGUUGGUCUUUUAUUUCAACUGAUUUAAGAAUGGAUGUGGAUUGGUGUUCUUGAUGUUUCUGUUUCUACGAAGACAUUACAACAGUGUUUCCAGAAAGUGAUCAAGAUUCGAUUCUACAUGACACAACCAAUCGAGACCAUGAAAUUUUAGAAGAUUCAGAAAUUUGUUUCCUCAGAGAAAAAUGACUUUCUGCAAGUGAAAAAUUGAUCGAUUCUGUAAGAAUGAUAACUCUCUGGAGGAUUCCUCGACUGCUGCCAUCAUAGAGGUUGUUGCCCCUUAGCUCUUGAAGUAGAGACUGAAAAUCACUGUGCUGCAUGGAUGUCGAGAAGAGCAUUGGAAAUAGCUGACAGUGGCAUGUUCCUUCUAUUAGACUCUCAUUUCAACUGAUUUAAAAAUGGAUGUGGAUUGGUGAUCUUCUUCUUUCUGUUUCUACGAGGACCUGACAACAGUGUUGCCAGAAUGUGAUCCAGAUACCAAUCUACAUGACACUUCCAAUCGAAACCAUGAUAUUUUAGAAGAUUCAGAAAUUUGUUUCUUCAGAGGAAAAUGACUUUCUGCAAGUGAAAAAUUGCUCGAUUCUGUAAGAAUGAUAAUUUCCUGGAGGAUUCCUCGAAUGCUGUCAUCAUAGAGGUUGUUGCCCCUUAGCUAUUCAAGUAGAGACUAAAAAACCCACUGUGUUGCAUCGAUGUCGAAAAGAGUAUGGGAAAAAGCUGACAGUGGCAUGUUCCUUCUGUUGGGCUUUCAUUUCAACUGAUUUAAGAAUAGAUGUGGAUUGGUGUUCUUGAUGUUUCUGUUUCUACGAAGACCCCACAACAGUGUUGCCAGAAAGUGAUCCAGAUUCGAUUCUACAUGACACAACCAAUCGAGACGAUGAAAUUUUAGAAGAUUCAGAAAUUUGUUUCUUCAGAGGAAAAUGACUUUCUGCAAGUGAAAAUUUUUUCGAUUUUGUGAGAAUGAUAAUUUUCCUCAAGGUUUCCUCGAGUGCUGUCUUCAGAGAGGUUGUUGCCCCUUAGCUCUUCAAGUAGAGACUGAAAAACGCACUAUAUUGCAUCGAUGUCGAAAAGAGUAUGGGAAAAAGCUGACAGUGGCAUGUUCCUUCUGUUGGGCUUUCAUUUCAACUGAUUUAAGAAUGGAUGUGGAUUGGUGUUCUUGAUGUUUCUGUUUCUACGAAGACCCCACAACAGUGUUGCCAGAAAGUGAUCCAGAUUCGAUUCUACAUGACACAACCAAUCGAGACGAUGAAAUUUUAGAAGAUUCAGAAAUUUGUUUCUUCAGAGGAAAAUGACUUUCUGCAAGUGAAAAUUUUUUCGAUUUUGUGAGAAUGAUAAUUUUCCUCAAGGUUUCCUCGAGGGCUGUCUUCAGAGAGGUUGUUGCCCCUUAGCUCUUCAAGUAGAGACUGAAAAUCACUGUGCUGCAUCGAUGUCGAAAAGAGUAUUGGAAAAAGCUGACAGUGGCAUGUUCCUUCUGUUGGACUUUCAUUUCAACUGAUUUAAGAAUGGAUGUGGAUUGGUAGUCUUCUUGUUUCUGUUUCUACGAAGACCCCACAACAGUGUUGCCAGAAAGUGAUCCAGAUUCGAUUCUACAUGACACAACCAAUCGAGACGAUGAAAUUUUAGAAGAUUCAGAAAUUUGUUUCUUCAGAGGAAAAUGACUUUCUGCAAGUGAAAAUUUUUUCGAUUUUGUGAGAAUGAUAAUUUUCCUCAAGGUUUCCUCGAGGGCUGUCUUCAGAGAGGUUGUUGCCCCUUAGCUCUUCAAGUAGAGACUGAAAAACGCACUAUAUUGCAUCGAUGUCGAAAAGAGUAUGGGAAAAAGCUGACAGUGGCAUGUUCCUUCUGUUGGGCUUUCAUUUCAACUGAUUUAAGAAUGGAUGUGGAUUGGUGUUCUUGAUGUUUCUGUUUCUACGAAGACCUUACAACAGUGUUUCCAGAAAGUGAUCGAGAUUUGAUUCUACAUGACACAACCAAUCGAGACCAUGAAAUUUUAGAAGGUUCAGAAAUUUGUUUCCUCAGAGGAAAAUGACUUUCUGCAAGUGAAAAAUUGCUUUAUUCUAUAAGAAUGAUAAUUAUCAUGGAGUGUUCCUUGACUGCUGUCAAAGAGGUUGUUGCCCUUCAGUCUCUCACGGAUCGAUCGAAAAAGCAAUUGAAUUGUAUAGCAGGUGAACAGAGUAUGAAAAAUAACUUACUCUGGCAUGUUCCUUCUGUUGGUCUUUUAUUUCAACUGAUUUAAGAAUGGAUGUGGAUUGGUGUUCUUGAUGUUUCUGUUUCUACGAAGACCUUACAACAGUGUUUCCAGAAAGUGAUCGAGAUUUGAUUCUACAUGACACAACCAAUCGAGACCAUGAAAUUUUAGAAGGUUCAGAAAUUUGUUUCCUCAGAGGAAAAUGACUUUCUGCAAGUGAAAAAUUGCUCGAUUUUGUGAGAAUGAUAAUUUUCCUGAAGGUUUCCUCGACUGCUGCCAUCAAAGAGAGUGUUGUCCUGGAUUGGUGGUUAUUUCAGACGCCACAACAGUAUUGCCAGAAAGUGAUCCAGAUUCAAGUCUACAUGACACUAUCAAUCGAAACCAUGAUAUUUUAGAAGAUUCAGAAAUUUGUAUCUUGAGAGGAAAAUUACUUUCUGCAAGUGAAAAAUUGAUCGAUUCUGUAAGAAUGAUAACUCUCUGGAGGAUUCCUCGACUGCUGCCAUCAUAGAGGUUGUUGCCCCUUAGCUCUUCAAGUAGAGACUGAAAAUCACUGUGCUGCAUGGAUGUCGAGAAGAGUAUUGGAAAUAGCUGACAGUGGCAUGUUCCUUCUAUUGGACUCUCAUUUCAACUGAUUUAAAAAUGGAUGUGGAUUGGUGGUCUUCUUCUUUCUGUUUCUACGAGGACCUGACAACAGUGUUGCCAGAAUGUGAUCCAGAUACCAAUCUACAUGACACUUCCAAUCGAAACCAUGAUAUUUUAGAAGAUUCAGAAAUUUGUUUCUUCAGAGGAAAAUGACUUUCUGCAAGUGAAAAAUUGCUCGAUUCUGUAAGAAUGAUAAUUUCCUGGAGGAUUCCUCGAAUGCUGUCAUCAUAGAGGUUGUUGCCCCUUAGCUAUUCAAGUAGAGACUAAAAAACCCACUGUGUUGCAUCGAUGUCGAAAAGAGUAUGGGAAAAAGCUGACAGUGGCAUGUUCCUUCUGUUGGACUUUCAUUUCAACUGAUUUAAGAAUGGAUGUGGAUUGGUGUUCUUGAUGUUUCUGUUUCUACGAAGACCUGACAACAGUGUUUCCAGAAAGUGAUCCAGAUACCAAUCUAUGACACUACCAAUCGAGACCAUGUCAUUUUAGAAGAUUCAGAAAUUUGUUUCUUCAGAGGAAAAUGACUUUCUGCAAGUGAAAAAUUGUUCGAUUCUGUAAGAAUGAUAAUUUCCUGGAGGAUUCCUUGACUGCUGCCAUCAAGGAGAGUGUUGUCCUGGAUUGGUGGUUAUUUUAGACGCCACAACAGUGUUGCCAGAAAGUGAUCCAGAUUCCAAUCUACAUGACACUAUCAAUCGAAACCAUGAUAUUUUAGAAGAUUCAGAAAUUUGUAUCUUGAGAGGAAAAUUACUUUCUGCAAGUGAAAAAUUGCUCGAUUCUGUAAGAAUGAUAAUUUCCUGGAGGAUUCCUUGACUGCUGCCAUCAAGGAGAGUGUUGUCCUGGAUUUGUGGUUAUUUUAGACGCCACAACAGUGUUGCCAGAAAGUGAUCCAGAUUCCAAUCUACAUGACACUAUCAAUCGAAACCAUGAUAUUUUAGAAGAUUCAGAAAUUUGUUUCUUCAGAGGAAAAUGACUUUCUGCAAGUGAAAAAUUGCUCGAUUCUGUAAGAAUGAUAAUUUCCUGGAGGAUUCCUUGACUGCUGCCAUCAAGGAGAGUGUUGUCCUGGAUUGGUGGUUAUUUUAGACGCCACAACAGUGUUGCCAGAAAGUGAUCCAGAUUCCAAUCUACAUGACACUAUCAAUCGAAACCAUGAUAUUUUAGAAGAUUCAGAAAUUUGUAUCUUGAUGGGAAAAUUACUUUCUGCAAGUGAAAAAUUGCUCGAUUCUGUAAGAAUGAUAAUUUCCUGGAGGAUUCCUUGACUGCUGCCAACAAGGAGAGUGUUGUCCUGGAUUGGUGGUUAUUUUAGACGCCACAACAGUGUUGCCAGAAAGUGAUCCAGAUUCCAAUCUACAUGACACUAUCAAUCGAAACCAUGAUAUUUUAGAAGAUUCAGAAAUUUGUAUCUUGAGAGGAAAAUUAAUUUCUGCAAGUGGAAAAUUGCUCGAUUCUGUAAGAAUGAUAAUUUUCCUGGAGGAUUCCUUGACUGCUGUCAUCAUAGAGGUUGUUGCCCCUCAGCUCUUCAAGUAGAGACUGAAAAUCACUGUGCUGCAUCGAUGUCGAAAAGAGUAUUGGAAAAAGCUGACAGUGGCAUGUUCCUUCUGUUUGACUUUCAUUUCAACUGAUUUAAGAAUAGAUGUGGAUUGGUAGUCUUCUUGUUUCUGUUUCUACGAGGACCCCACAACAGUGUUGCCAAAAAGUGAUCCAGAUUCGAUUCUACAUGACACAACCAAUCGAGACGAUGAAAUUUUAGAAGAUUCAGAAAUUUGUUUCUUCAGAGGAAAAUGACUUACUGCAAGUGAAAAUUUUUUCCAUUUUGUGAGAAUGAUAAUUUUCCUCAAGGUUUCCUCGAGUGCUGUCUUCAGAGAGGUUGUUGCCCCUUAGCUCUUCAAAUAGAGACUGAAAAACGCACUAUAUUGCAUCGAUGUCGAAAAGAGUAUGGGAAAAAGCUGACAGUGGCAUGUUCCUUCUGUUGGGCUUUCAUUUCAACUGAUUUAAGAAUGGAUGUGGAUUGGUGUUCUUGAUGUUUCUGUUUCUACGAAGACCUGACAACAGUGUUUCCAGAAAGUGAUCCAGAUACCAAUCUAUGACACUACCAAUCGAGACCAUGUCAUUUUAGAAGAUUCAGAAAUUUGUUUCUUCAGAGGAAAAUGACUUUCUGCAAGUGAAAAAUUGUUCGAUUCUGUAAGAAUGAUAAUUUCCUGGAGGAUUCCUUGACUGCUGCCAUCAAGGAGAGUGUUGUUCUGGAUUGGUGGUUAUUUUAGACGCCACAACAGUGUUGCCAGAAAGUGAUCCAGAUUCCAAUCUACAUGACAUUAUCAAUCGAAACCAUGAUAUUUUAGAAGAUUCAGAAAUUUGUAUCUUGAGAGGAAAAUUACUUUCUGCAAGUGAAAAAUUGCUCGAUUCUGUAAGAAUGAUAAUUUCCUGGAGGAUUCCUUGACUGCUGCCAUCAAGGAGAGUGUUGUCCUGGAUUGGUGGUUAUUUUAGACGCCACAACAGUGUUGCCAGAAAGUGAUCCAGAUUCCAAUCUACAUGACACUAUCAAUCGAAACCAUGAUAUUUUAGAAGAUUCAGAAAUUUGUAUCUUGAGAGGAAAAUUAGUUUCUGCAAGUGGAAAAUUGCUCGAUUCUGUAAGAAUGAUAAUUUUCCUGGAGGAUUUCUUGACUGCUGUCAUCAUAGAGGUUGUUGCCCCUCAGCUCUUCAAGUAGAGACUGAAAAUCACUGUGCUGCAUCGAUGUCGAAAAGAGUAUUGGAAAAAGCUGACAGUGGCAUGUUCCUUCUGUUGGACUUUCAUUUCAACUGAUUUAAGAAUAGAUGUGGAUUGGUAGUCUUCUUGUUUCUGUUUCUACGAAGACCUGACAACAGUGUUUCCAGAAAGUGAUCCAGAUACCAAUCUAUGACACUACCAAUCGAGACCAUGUCAUUUUAGAAGAUUCAGAAAUUUGUUUCUUCAGAGGAAAAUGACUUUCUGCAAGUGAAAAAUUGCUCGAUUCUGUAAGAAUGAUAAUUUCCUGGAGGAUUCCUUGACUGCUGCCAUCAAGGAGAGUGUUGUCCUGGAUUUGUGGUUAUUUUAGACGCCACAACAGUGUUGCCAGAAAGUGAUCCAGAUUCCAAUCUACAUGACACUAUCAAUCGAAACCAUGAUAUUUUAGAAGAUUCAGAAAUUUGUUUCUUCAGAGGAAAAUGACUUUCUGCAAGUGAAAAAUUGCUCGAUUCUGUAAGAAUGAUAAUUUCCUGGAGGAUUCCUUGACUGCUGCCAUCAAGGAGAGUGUUGUCCUGGAUUGGUGGUUAUUUUAGACGCCACAACAGUGUUGCCAGAAAGUGAUCCAGAUUCCAAUCUACAUGACACUAUCAAUCGAAACCAUGAUAUUUUAGAAGAUUCAGAAAUUUGUAUCUUGAGAGGAAAAUUACUUUCUGCAAGUGAAAAAUUGCUCGAUUCUGUAAGAAUGAUAAUUUCCUGGAGGAUUCCUUGACUGCUGCCAUCAAGGAGAGUGUUGUCCUGGAUUUGUGGUUAUUUUAGACGCCACAACAGUGUUGCCAGAAAGUGAUCCAGAUUCCAAUCUACAUGACACUAUCAAUCGAAACCAUGAUAUUUUAGAAGAUUCAGAAAUUUGUAUCUUGAGAGGAAAAUUACUUUCUGCAAGUGAAAAAUUGCUCGAUUCUGUAAGAAUGAUAAUUUCCUGGAGGAUUCCUUGACUGCUGCCAUCAAGGAGAGUGUUGUCCUGGAUUGGUGGUUAUUUUAGACGCCACAACAGUGUUGCCAGAAAGUGAUCCAGAUUCCAAUCUACAUGACACUAUCAAUCGAAACCAUGAUAUUUUAGAAGAUUCAGAAAUUUGUAUCUUGAGAGGAAAAUUACUUUCUGCAAGUGAAAAAUUGCUCGAUUCUGUAAGAAUGAUAAUUUCCUGGAGGAUUCCUUGACUGCUGCCAUCAAGGAGAGUGUUGUCCUGGAUUGGUGGUUAUUUUAGACGCCACAACAGUGUUGCCAGAAAGUGAUCCAGAUUCCAAUCUACAUGACACUAUCAAUCGAAACCAUGAUAUUUUAGAAGAUUCAGAAAUUUGUAUCUUGAGAGGAAAAUUAAUUUCUGCAAGUGGAAAAUUGCUCGAUUCUGUAAGAAUGAUAAUUUUCCUGGAGGAUUCCUUGACUGCUGUCAUCAUAGAGGUUGUUGCCCCUCAGCUCUUCAAGUAGAGACUGAAAAUCACUGUGCUGCAUCGAUGUCGAAAAGAGUAUUGGAAAAAGCUGACUGUAGCAUGUUCUUUCUGUUGGACUUUCAUUUCAACUGAUUUAAGAAUGGAUGUGGAUUGGUGCUCUUCAUGUUUCUGUUGGUAUAAAGGUGUCACCACUAGUCUCGUUUCCAAGUUAGCAUAUCCUUUAUCAGUGGAGCCAGUUGAAAGAUGCCAUUUUCGGAGAGGUCCAUUGUUCAGAGGAAAAAAUCAAAUGAAAGAAGAAAUGAGAAGAGGAUGAUCACAAGAAGAAGACAACAAGAAGAAGAUUACAAGAAGAAGGGUCACAAGAGGAAAGUCACAAGAAGAUGAACUAGUAGAAAACUUUCUGAAGAUGAGAAUUGUUACCAAGGACAGCAUUGUGUACAUUUAUUAUAGUAAGUGGAUUAGAAGUGCAGUAUUUGCUGGCAUUUACAUGCGCGUUAGAAAAAAUUUGUCCCUCUUUAUGAGUCUGGAAGGACGUUUGGAUCUAUUCGAAAGAUUCUUAUGCAAAAAAGGCGCCGAUCUUUGGGAAGUGAGCACGAUAAGAGACGCGUAAAGCAAGGCAGCGCUUACCGUUUUAAGUGACAGAAGUGUGUCUUUCGAAGACGUGGACUGGGUAGGGAUGGAGAUGGUGGGGGGGGGAGGAGUUUUGUUUUUAACUGGGAACAUUUUGAAUGUUUUGAAAUAGGCAUGCCAGCAUUAACUGCAUUUUUAUUCCACCAUAGGGAAUGGUCAUUUAAGCAGCAGUUUCGUUAGGCUAGUUUUCAGUCUCGAAAUUACUCAAGAUGACAAUAACAGGAUGGAACCUCCCCCUUUUUAGCUGCUAAUACAUUAAUCGUCCUUCUAGUUUGCUUUUGAGUUUUGAUAAGAAUAAUCAAGCAUAAUUAAAAGGGCAUAAUCAAGCAUAAAUUAAAUCCUUGCAAAACAGCAGUUUGUCCCCUCAUUUUAGUUGAAAUUUACGGUGAUUUUCUAAAGUCCUUUUCAUGAUGCAGUUAUUUCACCACUCUCUCCAGUUAGUCAAAUGAGACAUUUUUGCAAGUUUUUCAAGGAAUGAUAUCCUGGCUCCUUUCAGUAGACCUUUGUUAUAAGUCGUAAGGAACACAAAAUAUCAUGAGUUAUUUUGCAAAUAGACUUUAUAAGGUAAGGAUUUUAAGUAAGGAUAAUCUGCUUGAAUGACCAAUUCAGGACUUCCUACAAUCACCUGAGUUAUAAUUUAACCAGGGAAGGGACCUUGACUAGGUUAUAAUCCAAAACACGUAACGUCAGAUGGCAGUUGCAUGGUUUCAAACAAGGGAUAUGGCUUGCUUAAAGGACAGUAGUAUUCUUCUCGCCGUUGGACAGUGGAGGAGAACAAGCAAAAAGGAUGGAAGAAAAGAAAAUACUCUUCAUGUGAAAUCCACAUAACGAAUGGAUGAGAACUUUGAGGCAUGCCUUGGCAAGAAGGAACACUACAGGCUACAUAACGAAUGGAGACCACGGUUGAAGCCAUGGCUUCAGAAAUACGAGAUUUUUCAAGCAACCCGGAGUAAGGUGGUGAACUGCAAAGCACAGAUGGUCUAAGGAGCAAAGAAGAUCAUUUUAUCAUUUCUACUCUUUUUAUCUUGUUCUUCCCUAUGAAAUGUUUCAUUUCUUCUCUAUUCACCUUGUUCUUCCUAACAUUGUUUUAUAGUCCUUUUUAUUUAUUUCUCACUUUUAUUUUAUAGCUCCUGAAUAUUUAAUAAAAUAUUUAAUUUUUACCCCCCCCCAAAUAUUUAAUAAAAAUGAGUAUUUUCUCUCCACCCAAAAGGUACUUAUUCGUUCCAUCAAACUCACUUUCACGAAAUUUUCCCGCACACAUGAAAACGAAAAACGUCGAGUUUCUGACUUCAAGUCGUAAGUAGGAAUAGAUCUACAUUUUCGAAUGUUUAAAGUUUGGCAGACAUUUUAGCGACUGCUGAAUAUCUCGAUGUCUUCCUUUUGUCUGAAAACAUUUACCAUCAGAUGUUUAAGCGCUGUUGAAAAUCCCCCUUAUUCGACUUUCAUUGAAGCCUUUGAUUUUUGCCUAAGGAUAUUUCUUUUCUUCGUAACUUGCCUGAUUUUUCUUAUAAGCUCGUUUCUUCCCUGUUACCUCUGUGACUCUCAUUAAAGUACCAAACAACAGACCCAAAGAUGCAAGCAGGAAGAAAUACCACCAAAGAUGAAGCUCGCGUGGUUUGGAUUUACAAGAGCAUGGUGCUGUGCCUGUGCGUCACUUUGUUCGCCAUCUCCCGCGUUUGAUAGCAAGGAUUUAAUAAUAGAACAAUCUUGGGGUUUAAAUAAACUAAAGACUCAGGUGGUUAGAGGAUGUACUGCUUGUAAAAUUGGAAACUGCGUGUAAAUUGUAGUUGUGUAUAAAUAGUAAUUAUAAUGCUGGUGCAAAAUUCAUAUGAUAAGGCUUUUCACGGGUGCCCUUAACCUCAAAUUUUACUGAGUUGGGAUAAAACUAAGUUGGGGGAUGGUUGUCACUUUACGCACUGGUCUUUCCCCCUAAAAAUAGUUUUUAGUUUUCACGCUACCAGCAUAUCCCUUUCAAAAGCCUAAUCGGGUCAUUUUCUUAAAGAAACUUUGGUCAUUCAAAUACUUUGGUGUAAUUUGGGUGUCUUUUGGCCAUGUCUCCAACAACCUACCCGAAGAGCCCCCUCUGUAAACCAAAAUUCUGAAACUCUUUGAUCUGUUUGUCGUGCCUGGGCAAGGAAACCUCUGCUUAUUUAGAAAGGUUUGGCUUACAAAAACAAACCUUCCAGAAUUUUCGUCUAUUUUUCCAAGGACAAUGAAAACUUCAGAAAUUACAGUUCCCUUUUGAUUUCUUUGAUGGUUUUGAAAUUCGGUCUCUUCCCACGUCUUGAUUCUACAAUUCGUUCAGUAUAUUCCAAUUUUUAGCUUCUUAGAGCUUCUAGACGAAGCACAUGCUCUAUCAUAUGGUUUUGCACCUGCAUCGUGUCUGCACAUUUUCUUAACGACUUCUUGUAUUAGGGAUUGGGAACAAGGAAUGUUUGUGCGGACACACCCCCACCCCGCCCCGCCAUGCUGGGCCUCUUCCCACGGAGUGCUUCGACGUCCUGCCUGCGCUGCAAGAUUCUGAUGGGCUCCAGCUGGUAGUUCUCCGCUUCAUCCUGUCUUUCCAUCUCUGCAAGUUUGCCCUUCAUCUCAAAGGUAAGAGGAUUUAUUCUCUCUUCCAUUAUUUCUUUAAUUGCUUGUCAUCUUUGCUUGUAUAUUGUACACAUUUAACCAGUAUCCAAAUUCAUCAUUGGGACGAAGGAUAGGUAGCAUAAGGUUUCUUCAAACAUAGGGUGGGUUCAAUGUUUUUGGUCACUUUCUCAAUGAUAGGUAACUUUAACGGCGAGUGAAUCAUAUUGCAUUAGAGUAUUCUCUUUGCUGCAACGAUGUCUUGGUGAAUGGGAGUGCCGCAAUGGGAACGAAAGGCUGCGAUCUAGCAACUAAAAGUGUUGAUCGGGGUUGUGUUGUAAGGAUAGCAAUUUCUGAUCUGUCCUGGCUCUCUAGUCGGGUGCGAGGGUUUUUGGUAUAAGUAAUUAUUUUUAUUGUUAUUUGAUUUACCCUAUCGGUCAAGGGUACGGCGAAACGUCCUGUUGAAUAGGUAACCUUGCAGUUCUUCAUGUUAUGUGCGCCUGUUAUCAUUUACUAGAUUAAGGAUUUUUUUUAUUUUGUAAGGUUAACUAAUAACUAAUUUUACCAGCAGUAAUGACCCUUUAAACGGUCCUAAUCUUAUGCAUUAUUUCUAUAAAAUCUUCUUAUAAAAACCAACAAGCUAGUAAAAAUAAUGUUAUCAUACUGCAAUAAUUUUUAUAAUUAUGCUUUCUAAGUUUCUAUAACGUUAAGCUAACAAGACGGUAGUUUUUUAGCUAGCCUGCUUCUAACGUUUACAAGAAAAUAUUGCAAUGUGCUUAACAGAAAUCAGGUCAGGUUUUGU